GGCGAGCGGGACAGGGGAGAGUCAUGUGUGGAACCCUGCCUGAUGACUGGGGAUAACCCCGGAAAACGGGGCUAAAUACCGAAAAAAGUUUGAAGAGCAAAGUGGGGGACCUUCGGGCCUCUUCCCCUGUCAUGUGCCCAUGUGGCCUUAUCUCAUUAGUGGGGUGGUGGCUCACCGGCGCGACGAUGCCUCGAUGGGCUGACAAGAUGACCGGGUGAUCUGGAACUGAGAGACUGUCCCAACUCCUACACUCCUACGGGAGGCAGAAUAUUGGAAUCUUCCCGCAUGCCUGAUGCUCUGACGCCGCGUGUGCGAAUGAGGCCUUCAGGUUUUAAAGGUCUUUCACUCUGGAGGAAGGCAUCAACUUUGCUAUGUGGUGAUUGACGUUACUUGACGGAACAUAACCGGCUAACUCCGUGCCCUACGCCGCCGGCAAUACGCGAGGGUGCAAGCGUGGCUCGGAAUUACUGGAAUUAUUGCGGCACGCAGGCGCGCUUGUUAAGUCUUCAUGUGAAAUGAUGUGCGCUCACCACUGGGUCACUGCAUUUGA
rnacentral:rRNA from 1 species